CAGCUGGUAUAAAAAUGGUGCUUUGUAGUCAUGAAGAGGGUGUAUUCUGGGAUCAAACCACCUGGCUGGAGAUGCUUACUAACCUCAGUUUCUUCAUCUGACCUUUGCUUUCUAAAAGAAUAAUAAGAUGAUACAUAUUCCUCUAAAGUCUGAACAGGAAGCUUUUCCCCUCACUCCCUCCCCAGAGAUGGGUGUGUAUCAUUUCCAUGAGUGUCUGUACUUUUACAACAUGUGCAUAUUCAUAAACAAAAUGACAAAUUAUUUUGUCUUAAUAUUUGCAUACAUCUAACCAUACUCUACACUUUUGCAACUUUUACUAUUAUAUAUUUUGAAGAUUAUCCUGUUUAUGCACAUAAGUUUAUUCAUUUUAAUAGUUGAAUAGUGUUUCAUUAUAUGAAUUAACCAUAAUUCAUCUAUUUCCCUGACUGACAAUUAGGUUUCUUUUCCUUUUUAUGCUCUGACGAACAUUCUUGCAAUUAUUAUCUUUGUAUAUGUCUUCAGGUAUAAGAAAUUCUCCAGGGUAGACCCUUAGAAGU
rnacentral:antisense_RNA from 1 species